GUUCAGCAUGAUUUCUUUUGCUGGGUAGAAUUGAAACAAUACAUUAUUGUGUACCCUAACUUAUAUGUUCCUAGAAAUAUUGGUCUUCCAUGACUGAUGGAAAAGUAACUAAAUUGCUUUUCCGAAUUGUCAGCUACAUCUUGCACAUCCCUACACAGACAGAGCCACAGAGAGGUUCAUUAAUCAUCUUGGACGACAAAGGGAGGAGGGGGAGUUCUCUACCAACUACUUGCUCUUCUCUUCCACGUGUGCCCUGUGCUGAUGACCAUCAUGUAUUUCCUUCCUGUUAGAUGUGACUACAUUUCAUGAGUGAUGGCAAAGAUUAUGUCUGAAAGAUGCAGAGAUUUUGGCAAAUCUGAUGUCCUUUUGAAGCCACUACCCUAUAAGGCACACAUGGUAUGAGUUGGCUGACAGUAUUCUGGCAGACUCUGUAGACAGCUAUUGAAGUCAACUUUUGGCAAGGAUUUAGGGAUUUGAGUUGUUACCACAUGUUUUUUAUAGGUACUGUGGUUUAUUUUGACAUGCAAGGGGUGACAUAACACUGAUUUUAAAAAAGUUUAGGUUGUUACCACUUUAUUUUUAAGAGCAUAGACAUCAAAGGGUGGCAAAUAUGUUAUGCAGUUUAAUGAGUUACCAUUUGUCACUGCAAAUCAGCUGAGGAGUGUUAGCUCGUUGAGCCUGGAUAACCUGAUUUCUUCUAAUCUUUUGUGUGCGCGCGCACACAUGCAUGUGUGUGUUUGUGUGUGUUUGUGUGUGUGUGUGUUAAGCAUUAUUGUAUUUACUACGCAAAAUUAUUGUUUUUGAUAACUCUGAACACACCUAGAGUGGAUCAGCCAUCCUGUGAUAUUAAGUGCAAGUAGCAUACCUAUAUUCUUUCCUAACCCAAGCUCAUUUUCUUUUUCAAAUUUGAGCAAUGAUGACUGUACUUUUGUAUUUGAUUCCCUAUUCAUUUACUGUAUCUCAGCAAAGAAAUGAAUUAGAGAAUUCCCUGUUCAGCAUACAGUCCAUAAUAUGCCAAUAAAUAAUUUUA
rnacentral:lncRNA from 1 species